UGAGGCCAGGGUUUGCCUGGGGAAGGUGCCAGGCCCCUGAGCCCCCAGGGCAAGGGGCAGCAGGGGGCAGUGGGGACCUGGAGUUUCCUGUCCCACAGAACACCUCAUGUGGAACAAGGUUGUUUUUCAAAGCCUGUCCCAGUGAGCCAUGAACACCACAGCCUGGGCUGUGAGCAGGAGGCAGAGGGGAUCUGGAAGGAAAUUCGUACCAUGAGGAGCUGAGUGGAGCAGCCGCUCCCACCAAAGCUCAGCGGGAAGCAGGAGUGAGCAGCAGUGGAAGGCAGCAUGAAAUAACCCCUGGGGUGUGACCCCCUGACUGAGCUCACCAUAGAGCUUCAGGGCUUGGAAGAGGUGUCUCCAGACCAGGUGUCCUGCACAGACCUUAUCCGGCUGGUUGCCCCUUCCCAACUGCUCCCAGUUGUUUUCCUAACAUUCACUAAGCACACAGAAAAGUCCCAGGAAAGACACAAGUCUGCCAAAUGACUCUGGGAAGCUUAGCUCGUGUUCAAGUUGGUUUCUGCAGCCUGUUUCUUGGAUUUUUUUGAACCAACUGAACACUGUCAGGAGCAACAGGACAGGCUGGAGGGGUUCUCCCAUUCCUCCCCACCACAUGCAUUGGGACACUGUGCUCCACAGUCACUAUUUUCUUUCCUCUGGCAUUGCAGGUGGCAACAGGGCUAUGCUGAACUGCCUCACUUCACUGCCACGCCCCUGCACAACCUCUUCAGUUCCAGUAAUUCCCACAUCCCAUGCAGCAUAUCUGACAGGUACCAAAGCCAGGUUUAAGAGUCCACUGUUUCCUGGAUCCUUUGGAGCCCUUCCUAGGGCUGGCCUGACCUGGCCUUUGCCACCUCUCCUCUGGUUUGGGAAGGUCAGGGACCUGCUGCCUAUGUCUUGCUGCAGGGUCUGCCCUGAGCACGUGCCAGCCCAGUAGUUUUUCAGCAGAAUUCCCACUUCUGAUGUGUUUGCAAAAUACUCUGCUGUUAAUUCUUA